GGCUCAGGAUGAACGCUGGCGGCGUGCCUAAUACAUGCAAGUCGAGCGAAUGGAUUAAGAGCUUGCUCUUAUGAAGUUAGCGGCGGACGGGUGAGUAACACGUGGGUAACCUGCCCAUAAGACUGGGAUAACUCCGGGAAACCGGGGCUAAUACCGGAUAACAUUUUGAACCGCAUGGUUCGAAAUUGAAAGGCGGCUUCGGCUGUCACUUAUGGAUGGACCCGCGUCGCAUUAGCUAGUUGGUGAGGUAACGGCUCACCAAGGCAACGAUGCGUAGCCGACCUGAGAGGGUGAUCGGCCACACUGGGACUGAGACACGGCCCAGACUCCUACGGGAGGCAGCAGUAGGGAAUCUUCCGCAAUGGACGAAAGUCUGACGGAGCAACGCCGCGUGAGUGAUGAAGGCUUUCGGGUCGUAAAACUCUGUUGUUAGGGAAGAACAAGUGCUAGUUGAAUAAGCUGGCACCUUGACGGUACCUAACCAGAAAGCCACGGCUAACUACGUGCCAGCAGCCGCGGUAAUACGUAGGUGGCAAGCGUUAUCCGGAAUUAUUGGGCGUAAAGCGCGCGCAGGUGGUUUCUUAAGUCUGAUGUGAAAGCCCACGGCUCAACCGUGGAGGGUCAUUGGAAACUGGGAGACUUGAGUGCAGAAGAGGAAAGUGGAAUUCCAUGUGUAGCGGUGAAAUGCGUAGAGAUAUGGAGGAACACCAGUGGCGAAGGCGACUUUCUGGUCUGUAAC
rnacentral:rRNA from 1 species